GGAGAAAAGCAGGGGAUCGCAAGACCUUGCGCGAAUGGAGCGGCCGAUGGCAGAUUAGGUAGUUGGUGAGGUAAAGGCUCACCAAGCCUUCGAUCUGUAGCUGGUCUGAGAGGACGACCAGCCACACUGGAACUGAGACACGGUCCAGACUCCUACGGGAGGCAGCAGUGGGGAAUUUUGGACAAUGGGCGCAAGCCUGAUCCAGCAAUGCCGCGUGAGUGAAGAAGGCCUUCGGGUUGUAAAGCUCUUUUGUCAGGGAAGAAACGGUGUGGGCUAAUAUCCCGCACUAAUGACGGUACCUGAAGAAUAAGCACCGGCUAACUACGUGCCAGCAGCCGCGGUAAUACGUAGGGUGCAAGCGUUAAUCGGAAUUACUGGGCGUAAAGCGUGCGCAGGCGGUUUUGUAAGUUUGUCGUGAAAGCCCCGGGCUCAACCUGGGAAUUGCGAUGAAGACUGCAAGGCUUGAAUCUGGCAGGGGGGGGUAGAAUUCCACGUGUAGCAGUGAAAUGCGUAGAGAUGUGGAGGAACACCGAUGGCGAAGGCAGCCCCCUGGGUCAAGAUUGACGCUCAUGCACGAAAGCGUGGGGAGCAAACAGGAUUAGAUACCCUGGUAGUCCACGCCCUAAACGAUGUCUACUAGUUGUCGGGUUUUAAUUAACUUGGUAACGCAGCUAACGCGUGAAGUAGACCGCCUGGGAGUACGGUCGCAAGAUUAAAACUCAAAGGAAUUGACGGGGACCCGCACAAGCGGUGGAUGAUGUGGAUUAAUUCGAUGCAACGCGAAAAACCUUACCUACCCUUGACAUGGACGGAAGCCACGAGAGAUCGGGGUGUGCUCGAAAGAGAACCGUCACACAGGUGCUGCAUGGCUGUCGUCAGCUCGUGUCGUGAGAUGUUGGGUUAAGUCCCGCAACGAGCGCAACCCUUGUCAUUAGUUGCUACGAAAGAGCACUCUAAUGAGACUGCCGGUGACAAACCGGAGGAAGGUGGGGAUGACGUCAAGUCCUCAUGGCCCUUAUGGGUAGGGCUUCACACGUCAUACAAUGGUACAUACAGAGGGCCGCCAACCCGCGAGGGGGAGCUAAUCCCAGAAAGUGUAUCGUAGUCCGGAUCGGAGUC
rnacentral:rRNA from 1 species